UACAGAGGUGGCAAGCGUUGCUCGGUAUCACUGGGCUUAAAGGGCGCGUAGGCGGUGCGGUGCGGUUUCGGUGAAAUCCCUCGGCCCAACCGAGGAACAGCCGGGGCUACGGCCGCGCUAGACGGCAUCAGGGGACAGUGGAACUCCCGGUGGAGCGGUGAAAUGCGUAGAGCUCGGGAAGAACAUCGGUGGCGAAAGCGCUCUGCUGGACUGCAACUGACACUCAGGGACGAAAGCUAGGGGAGCGAAUGGG
rnacentral:rRNA from 1 species